rnacentral:tRNA from 2 species
GGGGCUGUAGCUCAGUUGGCAGAGCGCUUCGUUCGCAAUGAAGAGGUCAGGGGUUCAAUUCCCCUCAGCUCCACCA